rnacentral:tRNA from 1 species
GGAGAGGUGGCUCAGUGGUUAAGAGCACUGACUACUCUUCCAGAGGCCCUGAGUUCAAUUCCCAGCACCUACA